rnacentral:misc_RNA from 1 species
AACGCAAAUUGCACUUCUUGGUAUUCCGAGAAGUAUGCUUGUUUGAGGGUUAGUUUACAAAAAAUCGUGAAAAUUUUUUUACGGACCUGGGUUUUCCAAGUUUAUUUCAUUUUGGUAACCUAAAAUUUAUCUUAAUAAUCUUAUGUGAUAUUGGAAAUAUUCUAUCUUGCAAUUUUUUUGUAAGUUUAUUAACAAUCAUCACUAAUUAUUAUGUCGUGUUAUCAUAUAAUGCUUUUUUACUAGGUAUGAUAACAUAAUUUAUAUUUAGCUAACCUCAAGUCAAGUAAGAAUACCCGCUGAACUUAA